rnacentral:rRNA from 1 species
GACAGAGGCCUCGAGCGUUAGGCGGAAUCACUGGGCUUAAAGCGUGUGCAGGCGGGCUAGCAAGUGGUGUAUGAAAGCUCCCGGCUCAACCGGGAAGGGUUAUGCCAGACUGCUAGUCUUGAGUGCGAGAGAGGAGCGUGGAAUUCCGGGUGUAGUGGUGAAAUGCGUAGAGAUCCGGAGGAACCCCAGAGGCGAAGGCGGCGCUCUGGCUCGCAACUGACGCUCAGACACGACAGCAUGGGGAGCGAACGGG